rnacentral:lncRNA from 1 species
AUGGCAGCCUUUAGGGGAGGGGGGGGGGGGAGACAAAAAAAACGAGGCAUUCAAAAAGCUUUUUAUGCAGCAAUUUGUGUGUUAGGCGCAAGGCUAAACAUGCACACAGUAUACACAUUUCUAUAAUCUCUUUUGUAUAUGAUAUAUUCGCGACAGUUGUAUGUUUCGCCACUCAAGUGUUACCACUGACAUGUUGGCUGCAAUUUCUCUAGUUUGUUUCAGUUAUCAUUCUAAGCCUGUUUUAGUCCAGUGCUUAGACAAAGGCAUUUUCCAAGGAUCUUCAGUUUACCCUAUCCUGUCAUUUCCCAACCCUUGGUACCAAUUCUUCAGCAGAAAACAUCACCGGUACAGCAUCUCAUCACCUUAACCCAACCAAAUAUAGCACUUUAAUUGCUUCAGCUAUUCGGUGGUGUUCGUAAUGAGCAAACCUGCAGCACACAAGUUAUUAAAACAUUUGAUGUACUGCAAUCUAGGUGUUUUAUAGGAAAAAUAAAAAAGCCCGACUUUCGCGAAGGAGUGUAGACUACACCAACCUCAGAUUCUAGGCAUUAUGCUGCCAUAGAAGCACUAUUGUUUUGGCUGCUGAUAUGAGUUGCACUCCCUUUUUGUUUUGCUUGCAUACGUCUUCAAGGGCACAGCUCAGUUAAUUAAAUGUAUUCAUUACCAACAAUUGUAGAAAUGUUCGAACAGCAACAUUUACAGUUGUGAACUGUUACAAAGACUGCGAAAAUGAUAUGUUAUGCCUCCACUGAAUUGACACAUUGAAAUGUAAAUGUGCUCUUAGUGACUGGAAGCCAAAGAAUGGGUGAAAUAGACAUAUAAAAUAUAAAUUAUUCACUUGUGCUUCAACUUUUAAGUCGGUUGAAACAAUGUUGCCUGCAGGCCUCGGGAAAUCUUUGCUGCAUAUUGCUUCCAGCCUUCAAAACCUGAAACAAAAAAAAAAGAUUAACAGCCUUUGCAGCCAGUUGGAACAAAACAAAAAUCACAGAAAGCCAGAACAUGCGGGCUUCCAAAACUUGCUAUACAAGAGCUAUCAGCUGAGUUAUGCCCAUAAUUGACCAAAUUUUACCAAAAUAAUAGAGCACACAUCACACACAUCUUAUGAACAUAACAAUGUCUCAUGGAGAAUUUAUUAGUAGCGAAUAUGUACAUACAACCACCCAGUUGACCUGUCUCUUCCACAUUUCGAAUUGUGCAGCACACUACUUCCACAUAUUGCCCAGCGUGUGAGCUUGACAACCCCAUAGUCCCAAUGUUAUGACACACAAUUAUAAUUUGAGCUAUUCCUGCAUUGUGAUGACCCCCAAAUGUUGAUGUUUGGUGUUUUGUGGUGCAAGGGCCAUUUGAUGGCCGAAAAGUGCCAGGUCAUGAGACAAGAGAGAGAGAGAAAUAGAGAGGAAAGGCUGGGAGGAAACAAGAGGAACAAUGAUUAUGAUAAUGCAUGGCAAAAAGUCGUGAUGAUAAAACCAUGGUUGAGAUAUAUGGCAUUAGUGCCUCAUGAAUGCCCUUGCGUCCAAGGGCUUUGUUUAUAUAGCCACCACAGCAGAGGUUUUGCUACACAAUGCCUGAGUAUAUGACAUUAAAACUGAUUCCCUACCAACGAACAUUGCUGGCUGAAUUGGUAUCUGCUGUCAGUAGGGUAAUAAAAAGUGUUUUCUUCUGGGCGUGUCCAAUACCUUGUAUUAGAUUGAAAUGUGAAGCACUGUUAGUGCUUCACUAUAUCUCUCGCACAAUGGUAGAUUGCCACCAGACAAAAGGUAUGAAUGUGUAGUGUCAACUUGUCCUGUUGUUAGCCUCGCAAGUCUUACUUCUGUGCGUCACGAUUUUGAUACUGGUGGCCAAUGACCAAGUUGCACUUGAGGGGGGAAGCAGGUUCGGUGACGGAGCACGAUCUGUCGGUUGAAAUGCCGACAUCUCCGCUGCCCGUUUCUCCGGCCGCCUCGGACGACGUCGGCGAUAGGCAGCACGGCACAGGGAUAGACACAACUUUUUUGAUGAACGCCAAUCAUGUGCAACAGCAGGAAGUGAGUGACGAUAAGCUCUGCAUCUUAUGGCGAGCUAGCGCAAACUGCGAAAGCUCAUGACAGUAUGCAAGGACUAAGACCCGUAGGAGGCUGGAUCCACGACUACUCUAUGAUUAAUUAACAAGCUGCUUGAAAGGACUGCUAAAUCCUGGACGUACAGUGGGGCCAGUUGCAUAUCCAGACUACUCCCCUGGUGUUUUCCGAGGCACUUAUAUGCAAAGUGAAGCAUUUUCAUUUGAGUACAGUUUCUUAAAUACAGUUUUUUUUUAGUCAUUUUCUCAGUUUGUUUUUUG